GCCUUCGUGGUGUAGUGGUCAGCACGCUCGGCGCGUAUUCGAGAGGUCCGUGGUUCGAGUCCCGGCGACGGCA
rfam:Stegodyphus mimosarum contig76361, whole genome shotgun sequence.